CGGCAAGCCGUUCUUGACUCA
rnacentral:miRNA from 1 species